rnacentral:rRNA from 1 species
UCUGCCCACUGAGAUUUUAAAUGGCCGCAGUAAUUUAACUGUGCGAAGGUAGCAUAAUAAUUAGUUUUUUAAUUGAAAGCUGGAAUGAAUGAUUGGACGAGAAAAAUACUGUCUUAAUAUUAGAAUAUUAUAAUUUUAUUUUUAAGUUAAAAAGCUUAAAUUUAUUUAGAAGACGAGAAGACCCCAUAGAGUUUUAUAUUUUUAUUAUUUUUUAUAUUUAGAAUUUUUAUUAUUUUAUAAGAUAGAAUAAUUUGUUGGGGUGAUAUAAAAAAAUAAUAGGCUUUUUAUUUUAAUAACAAUAAUUAUUGUAUAUUUGAUCCUUAAAAAAGAUUAAAAGAUUAAAUUACCUUGGGGAUAACAGCGUAAUUUUUUCAAAGAGUUCAUAUCGAAGGGAAAGAUUGCGACCUCGAUGUUGGAUUAAGAUUUAUAUUUGGCGUAUAAGCUAAUAUACUAAGUCUGUUCGACUUUUAAAAUCUUACAUGAUC